GGUUCAAGGGGGUUCUAAUGGUGGACGCGGAAAGGAUUUUAGGGGCUGUCAGAUUUGGGCGAUGACCUGACCUGAUGGGUUUGUGGGGACUACAAUGAGGGUGGAUUCAGCCUGAUUAGAUUGCUAUGGGCGACAUCUAUGGUCGAAGGUUGGAUGAGGAUAGAGGUUUUCAGCGAUUGAGACUAAGGAGAGAUGGGUUUUCAGUUUUCAAUGAGGGGACGGUGGUGGGUUUCGAUGAGCGGAGAUGAUAGAUUUGAGCAGAUGUCGGAUUUGGUGAGUGAAGGUGGAGAACUGAGCUCGAGCAGUGCCAUUACUUCAGAAGAUUGCUGGUUGAGCAAUUGGAAAAA